UGUGCUUCUGCCAGGCCCCUAAGGCUCGGGAAACCUGUGCCUCGUUCAUUUCAGAGGCCUGACUUCAAACAUGCCUUCGCCUUCUCUCUCACUCUGCAGCGUCUUUGGUAGUGCUAAACAGACUGUCCAAGGCUAUUAAGAGCAAUGGGACAACUUGAUAAGGAUGGACAUAAAACCAUAGGAGGAAAAAAAAAAGAACGGCAAAUAGACAACAAACUAAUUGCAGGGUUUCACUAAACGUGAUGACGGUGGAUGGAGACUCAGUAGGGAGUCCAUUGAGAGGACAUCACAUAACUGGGAAAGGAACGUUUAAAAAAAGGAUUGUUAUCUUUUAAAAACUCACCCGGCUCUGUUGCACAUUCUUGGUUGAGUGAUGACAUGGCAGUUCAUGUGGAACACUGCACUCAUGCAUUGUGGCUCUCAAUUAAACUCUCUGACUACUGUUAGGUGAGAAAGACUGCACAAAUAUAACAACAUCUGUGACAUCCAAAUAAGUCUGUAUAAAAUGUGUGUGAUUGGUGAUCUUGGCACACUGCCAAGCAGAUUUUUGAUCAUGGUCGCUUACCAGCUAACAGGUUUCUCUUAAAGGCCAACAUCUCAAAGGGACAUGUUUUGCGCAGCCCCUGUGUAUAGUUAUGGGUUUACAACUCCCUCUGCAGAGAAAAACGUCUGUGAUGCCAGAGCGCAGAAUGUCAUAAAACUGCACCCCCGCUAAAAUAAACCCCCUUGCGCUUUAAUCCGACGUGACAUUAAACCAGCGAGUGUGUUUUCACAGUGACUCAGCCGCCACUGAUGGCGCUAAAAAGAAACAUACCCAUCGCGCCUGCUCUGUAUGAGAACAUGUCAUGUCUCCUUAAACGCCAAUCCCGUCUAAACGGUCCUGAAAACGAGGAGGGACUCGCUGGGCUCCUGUCAGGCAAGGCAUUCCAUAGUGCCAUGAUGAGUCAAUCUUUUCAUUUGAUAUUUUUACUAUGUCUGAGGCAAGAGGUGGGGAGAUGAGAAAAAGAUGGCCGCAGUCUACUGAGAAAAGGAAGCCCCCCCAUAAGAGAGAAAAUGUUUAAAGCGGAGCCGUGGCAUGACUAUCAGAUUGAUGUAGUAUUUCUUUACAAAAAUGCUCUGGUUGGCAUGUAGUUGUACCACCACCACUUAUUGCAAAUGACAAAAAAGCCUGCCACAUGCAAGCCUUUUGGUCUUUCUGAUCGAUCAUAGUUACAUGGUCUACUACAUUUGCGCUGAGGGAAACUGUUGUUCAACUAACUAGUAACUACUAUAGCCCCCCAUUCUUUGUUUCACUCCCCUGAUGCUUGAUGGUGCAGAUCAGAAAUGAGGUUAACACACAGUCAUUGGCAUCAGUGCCCUGUUGUGGUCUGUGGGGGUACGCAACCCUUAGCACCUUCAUAUAUACACACACACACACACACACACACACAACCCCCCAAACACUUGUGAUUUUUUUUUCCCUUGAUAAACAGGCGCACCAUUGUCGUGUGAAGAGCUCUCGUUAUUAUUUUUUAAAGUAAUUACACCUUAUUAUCUGUGUUUACUUUCGCGAGGGCGAGUGCAGGUGUGGGACGGAGGGAGGCCGUGGGUGGCGGGUGAUGGGCCCUGUAGGGGGGCAGUCGCCCCUGUGUGUCUCCAACCUCCCCACCCCCAUACACACACUCCUUCUCUCCCUGCCCUCUGUCUUUUUCCCCUCUCCCCUAGACUCGAGGUUUGGGUAUUGUAGCUGCUCUCCCACCAAUUUCAUUGCCACAAAAAGAACCUGCAAUUAGGCCUAUUGUUGUAGCAGCUGCUCGUUGCCUGCCCCAUAGGCCCUGCCAGUUCUUGGCUCAUGGUUGGGGAGAGGGACCCCUGCCGUGACACCAAACAACCCCCCAGAACCGCCACCACAGUCACCACCAUCUCAAACACCAAAGGCUAUGAAUCAAUCCGUCAAUCUAUCA